GCUUGCAGAUCUGCUUUCAUUUUUUUUUUCUCCUGAAAAGCAAACAAGAGAAUUUUUAAUAAAAACAUUCCACUUCCCACCAGAGACGCUGACAAUGGUGAUCCAGGUAUUACCCUAUCUGCAAAUAUGCAUCCAGCACGCACGGCCUGCGUGGAAGUGGUUUAAAGGCUUAACCCAAGAUUUUCAUAUUAAGAAUGGAAUGUGGUAUCUUUUGAUUCCUUAAGUCCCUCAUUUUGAAGAAAGGCACCUUUUAAAAUGAUCUGGAAGUUUCCGUUGUGGCUCAGUGGGUUAAGAACCUGACUUAGUAUCCAUGAGGAUGCAGGUUCGAUCCCUGGCCUCACUCCAUGGGUUAAGGAUCUGGCAUUGCCAUGAGCUGUUGUGUAGGUCACAGAUGAGACUUGGAUCCCCUGUUGCUGCGUCUGUGGUGUAGGCUGGCAGCUGCAACUCUGAUUCCACCCCUAGCCUGGGAACUUCCACAUGCCACGGGUGCAGCCCUAAAAACAAAAGACAAAACAAAAACAAAAACAAAAUCUUUAUGCGUCACUGUGUAAAAAUACGAUUUUAAAUUUUAAAUUAAAAAGUAUAAGAUGCUACAUCUUUUCUAAGAAAAUGGCCAAAAUGUGCAUAUGUACAUGCAUAUUUUCAUAUCUACACAUUCGCACACGCAGGAGCAUCUCUGGAAGUACCCACGGGCACUGGCCAUGCUUGUUUUCCUUGGUGCACUGUUUGGAUUGCUCAUCUUGCCUGCAUGGCAGGUUGGUUUUCUAGGAGGCGGAUUCUGAGUGGAGACUCGUGAGGAUCACGGAUGCGGGAGUGUGCUCCGGGAGAGGAGGAGAGGAGGGGGGAUCAGGCACAUGGAAACCUUGAUCUGGAUGGAUUCCCAGCAAGGCCAACCCCCGGGAGGUCUGAAGCUGGACGACCCCUCAGAGCGGCCCCAAGAUGGGAGGAGGGGCUGGGCCUUCAUUCCUACCACCCACCCCCACCCCAUCCCUCAGUCACUGGAUGCUCUCUGGUCCUGGGAGGAGGUGGAGCUGGGGUUGAGGAAGUUUCCUUCAGCUUGAGGCAAUCCCCAAAGAGGGUUGAUGGUAAGAGCCUUUGAGCACAUUCCCAGCAGCUGGCAGCGGGGGUGGGCAGGCAGGUGGGGGGCAGGGAGUCCCCUUCUUCCUGAAGCGGGAGGUGGGGGUGGGCAGCACCAUACAGCAUCUACAACGUUAUCUUUCCAUAAAUGAAUGGCAUAGGUAUCAGGAAUUUAAUUUGCAGUCACAGUAGUUUGUGGUGUGAUAUUUGCCCUCGCCUGCCCAAGGUUUGCCUGCACCACCCUGCCGAAAGUCCCUGAAGUUUUAACAAUUUGUUGCAGGGUGGUUUAAGAGGGGCUUCCUGGGGAAAUCUGUGUGUACUCACUGCCCUCAUAGGUUACUCCUUCAUUGCUUAUUAUCGACCAAUAACUCAAGCAUACAUGACGUGGCCAGUGGAGAAUGAGACACUGAAAUUGUCCGGUUUCCCUAGCUUUGCCCGUGCUAAUAACAGAAGGAGGUUAGGCUAGUUCCCUGGACAGUCAAAGGAGCCUGAAUACAACACAGAGAAGUAUUCCCCCAAAUGGGAUGCGGGUGCUUCAGGGGGUACCAAAGAUACCCACUGGCCCUCUCUCUAUAGCAAGGACAUUUGCUAUGGCAAGGAAAUUUGAGAACUUUUACAUAUACAUAGAGUCCUGGAGUGGCCACUUGGAUGGAAUUAAAAAAGAAAGGACACAGAGGAAAAUGUACGGUCCUGGUCCCUCUAUGACAUUCACUGUCUGUACCUGUCCCAAGGACAUCACUGUAGCAAAAACACUGAACCAGAGAUCCACAAAAAUGUUACAGGAUGUCAUAAAAAAAAAAAAAAAGAAUAGAAUCUUAAUGAGAUAGGGGAAUGACCAUGACAAUUUUUAGUGCCCUCAGAGGGUCAUAAGUUAUCUCAUGGCAAAGCACUUAGAAAUGUGAUUAAACUUGAAAUGGUCAUUAUUCUUUUACAAAUACAAAUGUCCCAAAUAUGCUGGCUAUUUUUGUGUAUGUGUGGUUACAAGGGGCAGACAUAUGCUCUGGCACACAUUUUCAAAAAUUAAAUGUGCUUAAUCUGUCCAUUUGAGAAAAUGAUGUUAAGAUGAGUGAGAAAGUAAUAACUUUUGAGAGAAAUUCCUGCUAUGGAAAGAGCAUUUUGGAAAUGGAUGUUUGUGCAUGUUUCUGAUUUAUGUGGCAUUUAUUGCCACAAACAUUGUGAAAACUCAUAAAGAUUCUGGAAGCAGAAUUUUCUAACCUGCCCUCAAUUUUUUCCAAAUGAAUAAUGUUAUCACGUUUUGACUAUGUUUAUUAGGAAUAUUGAGCGCCACAUUUUCCAAUUAAUUUGCAGCAACAUCCAUGUGACAUUCAGAAAAACGGAAAUUUACUAGCUCAUAAGAAACCUUGGGACAAUUAGCAGAGGGACUUACAAAAAUCAAUAUCAUGAUUUUGUUAAGUGCAGUAAAAUCAGGGCACUUUUCCCACUUAAAUCCACAUACUUUUGUGAAGCACAUUUUUAUGUAUUACAACUAAGCAAUAAAAUGUAGUGAACUCAAAACCAACAUCACAAGUUGUUUUGGGUUUGCUUUGGUUUUUGCUCUUUUUUUUUGGCUUUUUAGUGCCACACCCAUGGCAUCAUGGAAGUUCCCAGGCUAGGGAUCGAACUGGAGCUGCAGCUGCCAGCCACAGCCACAGCAAUGCCGGAUCCAAGCCCUGUCUGCCACCUACACCACAGCUCAUGCCAACGCCAGAUCCUUAACCCACUGAGCAGGGCCAGAGAUCAAACUCACGUGCUCAUGGAUGCUAGUAGGGUUUGCUGCCACUGAGCCACUACAGGAACUCCCACAAAUUAUUGCUGAUCUCACUAUUUCAGGAAGUAUUAAACCAAAAUUUUCACUAACCAAAUUUUUAACAUCCCACUUCAACUUUUUUCCUUUAAAAACAUUUAUUAUUUUUUUAACAUUAGGAACACAGUCGUAACAUGUUCAUACUAAAGCAAAAUAUAAGUAAAUACAAAUAUAUCAAAAUUUUUAAAGUGUAUCUAUUGGAAGCACACAGUCCAAAGUGAUUUGCCGAUAGAGAGGCAUGAUUUACAUUCUUGUAUAGAAGAAAACUAACCAGGAACAGCAAAGAAAAUGGGCUGGUUCUGUCCUUUGCAAAAUCUAUCAGAGAAAAAAACACAUUCCCCACAAUGCAUGUAGCAUACCAAUCCUGAGUGUGUGUGUGUUGGUCCUCUCGUGCCAAGUAAACAAAAUUAGAAAGUUAAUUACCUAAGCGUUUUUACAAUUGUUCAGCAAGGUCUAUAUUGGCCUUUGGUGAAAAGUCACGUUGGCGGAGCUCAGUCCCAGAGAUUCUGAGUCAGCAGGGGAACUACUGUUGGCUCGGGAAUCUGGACUGUUAGCAAGGACUCUGCGCUGUUGAGAAUUAGUGCUUCAUUUGGAAGAUGAGGACACUAAGGUCCAGACAGUUCAGGGAUGUGGUACAGAGGGGCUUCCCU
rnacentral:lncRNA from 1 species